GACGAACGCUGGCGGCAUGCCUAACACAUGCAAGUCGAGCGAGUUGAUCCCUUCGGGGUGAAGCUAGCGGCGGACGGGUGAGUAACACGUGGGCAACCUGCCUCAUAGAGGGGAAUAGCCUUCCAAAAGGGAGAUUAAUACCGCAUAAGAUUGUAGUACCGCAUGAUACAGCAAUUAAAGGAGCAAUCCGCUAUGAGAUGGGCCCGCGGCGCAUUAGCUAGUUGGUGAGGUAACGGCUCACCAAGGCGACGAUGCGUAGCCGACCUGAGAGGGUGAUCGGCCACAUUGGGACUGAGACACGGCCCAGACUCCUACGGGAGGCAGCAGUGGGGAAUGUUGCACAAUGGGGGAAACCCUGAUGCAGCAACGCCGCGUGAGUGAUGACGGCCUUCGGGUUGUAAAGCUCUGUCUUCAGGGACGAUAAUGACGGUACCUGAGGAGGAAGCCACGGCUAACUACGUGCCAGCCGCCGCAGUAACAC
rnacentral:rRNA from 1 species